AUUGAACGCUGGCGGCAGGCCUAACACAUGCAAGUCGAACGAGUGGCGGACGGGUGAGUAAUGUCUGGGAAACUGCCCGAUGGAGGGGGAUAACUACUGGAAACGGGAGAUAAUACCGCAUACUAUCGGAUGUGCCCAUAUGGGAUUAGCUAGUAGGUGGGGUAACGGCUCACCUGGGCGACGCUCCCUAGCUGGUCUGAGAGGAUGACCAGCCACACUGGAACUGAGACACGGUCCAGACUCCUACGGGAGGCAGCAGUGGGGAAUAUUGCACAAUGGGCGCAAGCCUGUUGCAGCCAUGCCGCGUGUAUGAAGAAGGCCUUCGGGUUGUAAAGUACUUUCAGCGAGGAGGCGUUACUCGCAGAAGAAGCACCGGCUAACUCCGUGCCAGCAGCCGCGGUAAUAC
rnacentral:rRNA from 1 species